rnacentral:rRNA from 1 species
CAGCAGCCGCGGUAAUACGAAGGGGGCUAGCGUUGUUCGGAAUUACUGGGCGUAAAGCGCACGUAGGCGGAUUUUUAAGUCAGGGGUGAAAUCCCGAGGCUCAACCUCGGAACUGCCUUUGAUACUGGAGAUCUUGAGUUCGGAAGAGGUUGGUGGAACAGCUAGUGUAGAGGUGAAAUUCGUAGAUAUUAGCUAGAACACCAGUGGCGAAGGCGGCCAACUGGUCCGAUACUGACGCUGAGGUGCGAAAGCGUGGGGAGCAAACAGGAUUAGAUACCCCUGUAGUCCCUGUCUCUUAUAA